rnacentral:tRNA from 1 species
GGAGAGCUGACCGAGCGGCCGAAGGUGGCGGUCUUGAAAACCGUUGUAGGGAAACCCCCUACCAAGAGUUCGAAUCUCUUGCUCUCCG